GGCAGUCCGGAGACACAAGGAACAAGACGACACCCGAAGAGGUUCCACUCCGCAAUACCAACCUGGCCAGAAGGUCUGGCUAUCCACUCGGGACAUCCGUCUCCGGCUUACAAAUUUUGUGACAGAGGACUGCUUUUCUGUUAUUAAAUUUGAACAAGACAACACUGUGGAAACAGUGCCUUCAAUAUGGCUGGAAAAAAAACACAAGAGACUGUUUUCUGCUAUUGGCCACACAAAAAUGUGUCAGUUCAAGUAAAGAAAGAAGCAAUCCCAGACAAGGAAUCCUGGUCACGAUACAGAGUGUCUGUUCUUGGAUAUGCAGGUAUGCAUUUUAGCAUUUAGAUGAUUUUAUGUAGGAUAAAUCUGAAUGAGAUUACAAAAGUGUAUGCAUGUACUUAUUUGGGAGAUGCUUUGAAGUGUAUUCUAGUACACUUAUUAAUUUACAUUCUG
ensembl:lncRNA